UGACCUGAUUUUUAUCCACCAGCACUUAGCACAGAAAAGACCCACUCCUGAAGAACAGAGGGAAAGAAUGGAGGCUUCAGAAUCGGAUUUCCAGUCAAGCAGAGAUCAAAGAAUGAGGAGGAAGAGUAGUCAGCUGAGAGAGAGACUUAGACAAGAGGGAUAAAAGAGCCAGACCACCGGGGAGAGGAGGAGUGUUCUAACUGCCAAACUGCUUGUGAAUUCUGUCCCUCCCGUG